CAUAAAACACAAAUACGCCAUAUAUAGAGAUUAGACGUAUAAU
rnacentral:guide_RNA from 1 species